UUGGAGGGCAAGUCUGGUGCCAGCAGCCGCGGUAAUUCCAGCUCCAAUAGCGUAUAUUAAAGUUGUUGCAGUUAAAAAGCUCGUAGUUGAAUUUCGGGAUCAAUAUUUCGGUCAUGCCGUUGGUAUGCACUGUUAUCAUUGAUUUCUCACCUUCUAAAGAACCGUAAUGCCAUUAAUUUGGUGUUACGGGGAAUUAGGACUGUUACCUUGAAAAAAUUAGAGUGUUUAAAGCAGGC
rnacentral:rRNA from 2 species